UCUCAAGAAGUGUUUUCCGCUUCGGACCAAGCCUAAGUCCCCUGGAAAGGGGCAUCAUAGAGGGUGAUAAUCCCGUACAUGGCUUGAGAGCGCCCGAGGCUUUGUGAUACGCUUUCUAAGAGUCGAGUUGUUUGGGAAUGCAGCUCAAAAUGGGUGGUAAAUGCCAUCUAAGGCUAAAUAUUGGGGAGAGACCGAUAGCGAACAAGUACAGUGAUGGAAAGAUGAAAAGAACUUUGAAAAGAGAGUUAAACAGUACGUGAAAUUGCCAAAAGGGAAGGGUAGGAGGUCAGAGAUGCGGCCUGGGAUUCAGCCUUGCUUUUGCUUGGUGUUUUUCCCAGAUUGCAGGCCAACGUCGGUUUUGGGCACUGGAGAAGGGUAGGAGGAACGUGGCACCCCUCGGGGUGUGUUAUAGCCUCCUACUGGAUACAGCGACCGAGACCGAGGACAGCAGCGUACUCGCAAGAGCGGGCCUUCGGGCACCUUUACGCUUAGGGCGUUGGCAUAAUGGCCCUCUACCAC
rnacentral:rRNA from 1 species